AACGUAGGGUCCGAGCGUUAUCCGGAUUUACUGGGCGUAAAGCGCGUUCAGGCGGUUUGGCAAGUCGGGCAUGAAAUCUCUCGGCUCAACCGGGAGAGGUUGUCCGAUACUGCUGGACUUGAGGGCAGUAGAGGGUGGUGGAAUUCCGGGUGUAGUGGUGAAAUGCGUAGAUAUCCGGAGGAACACCAGUGGCGAAAGCGGCCACCUGGACUGCACCUGACGCUGACACGCGAAAGCUAGGGGAGCGAACGGG
rnacentral:rRNA from 1 species